CCUACGGGCGGCAGCAGUGGGGAAUAUUGGACAAUGGGGGGAACCCUGAUCCAGCCAUGCCGCGUGUGUGAAGAAGGCCCUCGGGUUGUAAAGCACUUUCAGUGAGGAAGAACGCCUGGUGGUUAAUACCCAUCAGGAAAGACAUCACUCACAGAAGAAGCACCGGCUAACUCCGUGCCAGCAGCCGCGGUAAUACGGAGGGUGCGAGCGUUAAUCGGAAUUACUGGGCGUAAAGCGCGCGUAGGUGGCUUGAUAAGCCGGUUGUGAAAGCCCCGGGCUCAACCUGGGAACGGCAUCCGGAACUGUCAAGCUAGAGGGCAGGAGAGGAAGGUAGAAUUCCCGGUGUAGCGGUGAAAUGCGUAGAGAUCGGGAGGAAUACCAGUGGCGAAGGCGGCCUUCUGGACUGACACUGACACUGAGGUGCGAAAGCGUGGGUAGCAAACAGGAUUAGAUACCCCGGUAGUC
rnacentral:rRNA from 1 species